ACAGUUUGAUCCUGGCUCAGAGCGAACGCUGGCGGCAGGCCUAACACAUGCAAGUCGAACGGAUCCUUCGGGAUUAGUGGCGGACGGGUGAGUAACACGUGGGAACGUGCCCUUUGGUUCGGAACAACUCAGGGAAACUUGAGCUAAUACCGGAUGUGCCCUUCGGGGGAAAGAUUUAUCGCCAUUGGAGCGGCCCGCGUCUGAUUAGCUAGUUGGUGGGGUAAAGGCCCACCAAGGCGACGAUCAGUAGCUGGUCUGAGAGGAUGAUCAGCCACAUUGGGACUGAGACACGGCCCAAACUCCUACGGGAGGCAGCAGUGGGGAAUCUUGCGCAAUGGGCGAAAGCCUGACGCAGCCAUGCCGCGUGAAUGAUGAAGGUCUUAGGAUUGUAAAAUUCUUUCACCGGGGACGAUAAUGACGGUACCCGGAGAAGAAGCCCCGGCUAACUUCGUGCCAGCAGCCGCGGUAAUACGAAGGGGGCUAGCGUUGCUCGGAAUUACUGGGCGUAAAGGGAGCGUAGGCGGACUGUUAAGUUAGAGGUGAAAGCCCAGGGCUCAACCUUGGAAUUGCCUUUGAUACUGGCAGUCUUGAGUACGGAAGAGGUAUGUGGAACUCCGAGUGUAGAGGUGAAAUUCGUAGAUAUUCGGAAGAGCACCAGUGGCGAAGGCGACAUACUGGUCCGUUACUGACGC
rnacentral:rRNA from 1 species